CCCAGCAAAGGAGUCACAUGAUGGCACUACAAGAAAAAGGUCUGCUGGUGGCUGCCGCAAAUGCUCUAAAUGCAGAUCGAUAAUGCCAGUUUGGACCCAGAGAGCAGAGAGGACAAGAAGGCUGAGUCAGGAGGAGAUCCGGAAAGGCAGUGGUUCGAGAGGAAGGUGUGCAUACAGCUCCUCAGCCUACCUAUCCCCUCAGGCCCACACAAGGAUGCAGUUGAGUCAGCUGCAGAGUACUUUGCCUUCGUAGCCACGUUGGAUUUGGCAGCUGGUGAUCACCAUGCCGGACUUGGGUGCUCUGAGGUCCCUGCCUCUUGCUCUGUCAUUCCUCAGUGCUCUUCACUCCCCGUGGCAGCAGGAGGCUCCCAGCACAGCAGGGAAGGUUUGGAGCUGGCUCCUUCGAUCGUAGACCUGUAGGCAUUUCCACUUACCCACCGACACCCAUAUAUGCGCAGCAGCCCCAAGGAAACCAAUCCCAACGAAACCAAAGACAGACUUUCAGGAACUCUUAUGAAACAAAUCGGGCCGUGACCUGUCAUUACAUGAGCAAGGCAAAGUACAACCAGAGUGCAUGGACAUCCACGCUCACACAGAUUUGGUUGUGCACGCCUAAACUACCCACGGUGGUGCACACCUGGAAUCACAGUGCUCGGAGGCUGAGGCAGGAGGAUCACUGCAAGUUCAAGCCCAGCCUGGAUUAUCUCAUGAGUUCAAGAACAGCCUGAAUGAUACAUUGAGACGCUGUGUCAAGAAACAAAAUAAAUAAGUAAAUAAACAAUAUACAUCGGAGGGCCCUUCAGAAAAUGAACACCAGUAAGAGCAGCUGGGAGCAGAGAGGGCAGGGUGGAAGGGGCCCAUGCCCUACUCUGUGUGUUUCCGCUUUGGGGAUUUUGGGUAAAUGGAUGCAUUUGGUAUUCAGAAUUAACAUAAACAUGCCCGGGGUCCUGGGCACACUUUGGUCACAGGGCCUGGGCGGCCCUGGACUGGAGCGCCCCGGCCCCUGCUCCCCAUGGCCACACAGGUGAAAUACAGGUCACCUCUGUGUCAUGGCUGCUCCACAACAGCAAAGAGGGUGGCCUGGCAGAGGCCAUGCGUCUCUCUCCUUCACUUACUCAUUAACUCUUCCAGUAAAUAUUUCUUGGGCACCUACGGUAAUACAGCCACUGGGCUCUGCCCUUGGGGUUCAGCCAGGAACAAGACACACAAGGCCCUAUCCACACAGAACUGACAGGCAGCAAAAGCAAAAUAAAUGAAAUGUCAAAGAAUUCACUUCAGGGCCAGGGAUUUAGCUCGGUGGUUCCGCUGCCUACCUUGCAAGCGCAAGGUCCCAAGUUCGAUCCCUGGUACCAAAAAGAAAAAACAAUUCACUUUUAACAGGGUGUAGGGGUGCACACCUGAGAUCACAGUACUCAGGAGGCUGAGGCAGAAGGAUGGCCACGUGUCCAAGAUCAGCCUACACUAGAUAUCAAGACCCUGCCUCAAAAAAGCAAAGCUCAACAACCAAAAAAAGAAUUCACUUCGAUCUGCCACAAUAAGGGGAAAGACAAGUACAUGAAAUCUGGACACACAGAACUAGGAAGCCAGAGAAGCUGGCAUUGACACUGAGUCUAAAAUAUAUAAAUCCAGAGACUAUAAGAAGUGGCCGGGAUGUUCUUGGACAAGGAAACCACUCAUCCAACUGCCCCUUUGCUCUGUGUCCUUGAAUAAACC
ensembl:lncRNA